rnacentral:rRNA from 1 species
GACGAACGCUGGCGGCGUGCUUAACACAUGCAAGUCGAACGGAAAGGCCCUGCUUUUGUGGGGUGCUCGAUUGGCGAACGGGUGAGUAACACGUGAGUAACCUGCCCUUGACUUUGGUGUAACUUCAGGAAACUGGGGCUACUCCCGUAUCGGAGCUCCUGCUCCAUGGUGGGGAUUGGAAAGUUUCGGCGGUUGGGGAUGGACUAGCGGCUUAGGAGCUUGUUGGUGGGGUAGUGGCUUACCCAGGCUUUGACGGGUAGCCGGCCUGAGAGGGUGACCGGGCACAUGGGGACAGGGAUACGGCCAAGAGGCCAACGGGAGGCAUCAGUGGGAAAUAGGGCACAAUGGGCGGAAGCCUGAUGCAGGAACGCCGCGUGGGGGAGGACGGCUUUCGGGUUGGAAACGGCUUUGGCCUGUGACGAAGCGUGAGGGACGUUAAUGGGGAAAGAAGAACGGCUAAAUUACUG